rnacentral:misc_RNA from 1 species
GCUGGAUCCCCUCCUUUUAAAGAGAAAAGCCGAGUUGUUCGUCCAUCGGGUUCCGGUUCGCCGGGCCGGUGUUAGUGGCGACGACUCCAAGUCGACCCCGAUCGCUCUUGACUCGGUGCGACUGUCGCGGUUCUUUCCUGUCGGCGCGUAGCGCGGCAGGGUGCGUCCAGCCAUACCCUUUUCAUCCGGCGGGAUCCCGAUGACGGCGCAAGUCGUUCGGGGUUUCGCGACUCGAGCUAGGGGCUGUAGCUCAGCUGGGAGAGCGCCUGAUUUGCAUUCAGGAGGUCGUCGGUUCGAGCCCGAUCAGCUCCACCAGUUGCGCCUGUUCGACCGAGUGCGGCGAACGCUGUACGGCGCGGAAGCGGGCGUGUAGCUCAGUUGGUUAGAGCGCAUCCCUGAUAAGGAUGAGGUCGCUGGUUCAAAUCCAGCCACGCCCACCACGCCGGCGGGCGGCGGCGGGGCUCGGGGCCGGUUGGGGCCUGGGCGGAUGAGGCGUCAGGCGUUGGCUUCUCGAUCGGAGCAGCAAACGCCUGGAACCUCGGAAGCGCGAGCGACAUGGGUGUUCCGGAUCUUUGACAACAGAAUAUCGAAGGGCACAAAGGCAACAUCGUUGGAAAGCGUGGUCUUCGGCUGGGUCGGUUCGCCGGCGAAGUCGGAGAUGCACGCGCACCCAAAGUGCGCGCCUGAGAUUUGCUCGGGAAGCGGUUUCCGCUCCGGGUAAAUUUUAUGGUCAAGCUACUAAGGGCGUACGGGGGAUGCCUUGGCGAGAGCAGGCGAUGAAGGACGCGGCCAACUGCGAAAAGCCUCGAUUAGCUGUAAGCAAGCCCAGUCGAGGAUGUCCGAAUGGGGAAACC